rnacentral:rRNA from 1 species
UACGUAGGGGGCAAGCGUUGUCCGGAAUUACUGGGCGUAAAGCGCACGUAGGCGGACUGUUAAGUCGGGGGUGAAAUCCUGGGGCUCAACCUCAGAAUUGCCUCCGAUACUGGCAGUCUCGAGUGCGGGAGAGGUGAGUGGAAUUCCCAGUGUAGAGGUGAAAUUCGUAGAUAUUGGGAAGAACACCAGUGGCGAAGGCGGCUCACUGGCCCGUAACUGACGCUGAGGUGCGAAAGCGUGGGGAGCAAACAGG